CCUUAGAGUUUGAUCCUGGCUCAGAGCGAACGCUGGCGGCAGGCUUAACACAUGCAAGUCGAGCGGGCGUAGCAAUACGUCAGCGGCAGACGGGUGAGUAACGCGUGGGAACGUACCUUUUGGUUCGGAACAACACAGGGAAACUUGUGCUAAUACCGGAUAACCCCUUACGGGGAAAGAUUUAUCGCCGAAAGAUCGGCCCGCGUCUGAUUAGCUAGUUGGUGAGGUAACGGCUCACCAAGGCGACGAUCAGUAGCUGGUCUGAGAGGAUGAUCAGCCACAUUGGGACUGAGACACGGCCCAAACUCCUACGGGAGGCAGCAGUGGGGAAUAUUGGACAAUGGGGGCAACCCUGAUCCAGCCAUGCCGCGUGAGUGAUGAAGGCCCUAGGGUUGUAAAGCUCUUUUGUGCGGGAAGAUAAUGACGGUACCGCAAGAAUAAGCCCCGGCUAACUUCGUGCCAGCAGCCGCGGUAAUACGAAGGGGGCUAGCGUUGCUCGGAAUCACUGGGCGUAAAGGGUGCGUAGGCGGAUCUUUAAGUCAGGGGUGAAAGCCUGGAGCUCAACUCCAGAACUGCCUUUGAUACUGGGGAUCUUGAGUUCGGGAGAGGUGAGUGGAACUGCGGGUGUAGAGGUGAAAUUCGUAGAUAUUCGCAAGAACACCAGUGGCGAAGGCGGCUCACUGGCCCGAUACUGACGCUGAGGCACGAAAGCGUGGGGAGCAAACAGGAUUAGAUACCCUGGUAGUCCACGCCGUAA
rnacentral:rRNA from 1 species